GUUCGCGGUGGGCGAGGCGGCCAGGCCGCCGCCGGCGAUGCGGUCGAGGUCCUCGUGGUUGUAGGCCAUGCCCGAGCC
rnacentral:tRNA from 1 species